GACGAACGCUGGCGGCGUGCUUAACACAUGCAAGUCGAACGGAAAGGCCCUGCUUUUGUGGGGUGCUCGAGUGGCGAACGGGUGAGUAACACGUGAGUAACCUGCCCUUGACUUUGGGAUAACUUCAGGAAACUGGGGCUAAUACCGGAUAGGAGCUCCUGCUGCAUGGUGUGGGUUGGAAAGUUUCGGCGGUUGGGGAUGGACUCGCGGCUUAUCAGCUUGUUGGUGGGGUAGUGGCUUACCAAGGCUUUGACGGGUAGCCGGCCUGAGCGGGUGACCGGCCACAUUGGAACUGAGAUACGGCCCAGACUCCUACGGGAGACAGCAGUGGGGAAUAUUGCACAAUGGGCGGAAGCCUGAUGCAGCAACGCCGCGUGCGGGAUGACGGCCUUCGGGUUGUAAACCGCUUUCGCCUGUGACGAAGCGUGAGUGACGGUAAUGGGUAAAGAAGCACCGGCUAACUACGUG
rnacentral:rRNA from 1 species